GAUGAACGCUGGCGGCGUGCCUAAUACAUGCAAGUCGAGCGAAUGACGAGGAGCUUGCUCCUCUGAUUUAGCGGCGGACGGGUGAGUAACACGUGGGUAACCUGCCUGUAAGACGGGGAUAACUCCGGGAAACCGGAGCUAAUACCGGACGAUAACGAGAAGCGCCUGCUUCUUUUUUGAAAGUCGGUUUCGGCUGACGCUUACAGAUGGGCCCGCGGCGCAUUAGCUAGUUGGUGAGGUAACGGCUCACCAAGGCGACGAUGCGUAGCCGACCUGAGAGGGUGAUCGGCCACACUGGGACUGAGACACGGCCCAGACUCCUACGGGAGGCAGCAGUAGGGAAUCUUCGGCAAUGGACGAAAGUCUGACCGAGCAACGCCGCGUGAGCGAUGAAGGCCUUCGGGUCGUAAAGCUCUGUUGUCAGAGAGGAACAAGUACCGGAGUAACUGCCGGUACCUUGACGGUACCUGACCAGAAAGCCACGGCUAACUACGUGCCAGCCGCCGCCGUAAGAC
rnacentral:rRNA from 1 species